GACGAACGCUGGCGGCGUGCUUAACACAUGCAAGUCGAACGGAAGGCCCUGCUUUUGUGGGGUGCUCGAGUGGCGAACGGGUGAGUAACACGUGAGUAACCUGCCCUUGACUUUGGGAUAACUUCAGGAAACUGGGGCUAAUACCGGAUAGGAGCUCCUGCUGCAUGGUGGGGGGUGGAAAGUUUCGGCGGUUGGGGAUGGACUCGCGGCUUAUCAGCUUGUUGGUGGGGUAGUGGCUUACCAAGGCUUUGACGGGUAGCCGGCCUGAGAGGGUGACCGGCCACAUUGGGACUGAGAUACGGCCCAGACUCCUACGGGAGGCAGCAGUGGGGAAUAUUGCACAAUGGGCGGAAGCCUGAUGCAGCAACGCCGCGUGCGGGAUGACGGCCUUCGGGUUGUAAACCGCUUUCGCCUGUGACGAAGCGUGAGUGACGGUAAUGGGUAAAGAAGCACCGGCUAACUACGUG
rnacentral:rRNA from 1 species